CCGGGCAAAGCCGGGUCGUGCUGUCGUGCUCAGCAUCUCUCGGGGAAGCCUGAGGAAGGCACUUCUGGCCACACCCUCCCCAGGGGAGCAGUAUCGGGACAUUUCUCCGUAUCCUGAAGAGCCUGUCCCCAGAGCAGCACCAGAAUGUAGCUAGAGGUCUAAGCCACGGCUGACACGGCAUGAAGCACACAUGAAACAUGCAUGUGGCAGCACCCCUUCCACCCAAAGCCUCAGCUCGCUUCGGAACCACACACUGGAGCUGAUUCAACAAAUAAAGAGCCCCUUCUCUAGCCGGAGGAUGUUGCCUCCUCAGCCAGAUCCUGCAGAAGGAAACCACACGGACGAGAAGCCCCUUCGGUGAAACGCAGCCACGUCUCCCUGGCACGAAAAUCAUGCAGACUUAAUGGAAAUCUUGGCAAUUGCAUCACAAGCUUCACCUUUCUCGGGGCUCAUCAUGCAUUUUCCUCCAACAACAGAGUUUUCGGGAGAAGCCGGGGAGCAUGGAAACACACUCCACUCAUGCCAGAGCCUGGGGCUUCCUCAGGCGUGAGGUUUCUCUUUUCACAGCAGACAAACCUCUGCGUUGGCACGGCUUAUCUGAAAAAUGGUUGGAACCUCUGGCCCUAGGCGAUCCCAGAGCCGCUGACGUGCCCCCCGGAAGCCUUGCAAGUGUGUGUUUUUCACGGUGUAUUAAUUCAAGCGGCACGUUAGAUGAGAUGUGUUCUAAUUUUUGCUUUUAACCCCUGCAGUUAGCGGAUUGGCCCCUUUCCUUUGGCCUCUGAAGAGCACAGAGCAGAGCACAAGCACAGAGGGAAAGAAGGCACCCCAGAACGUCCCAGGGCUUUCUUCCCCUCUGCUUUUACCCAGUUUUACUGACACCAUUUAUUUGCAGACAAAGGACCUAGAAGCUGGAGUCUGGGGAAAAAGCGGAAAGUGAGAAAGCUUGUAAGUUUCAAGGUUGACACAUGUAAGAUUCUACUGUCACCAGGAGGGCUGAGAAGUCUCCUGCCAAUGCGGAGGGGAAAACAACCCAGUGCCCCCAAAAUAUCAGUGAAGGAGCCACUGUCUACAGACAUCACUGGAGAGUGAACAUCUCCUGAGAAUCACUGCUCCGACCACACAGAGCACUGGCCCCAGAUGUGGCUAUUCUGGACGUUUCACAUAAAUGGAAUCAUACAACAUGCAGUUUUUUGGUGACUGGCUUCUUUCACUUAGCCUAACGUUUUCAAGGUUCAACCUUAUUGUAGCAUAUAUAAAUACUUCAUUCCUUUUAAAUGGCCAAAUAUUAUAUCAUAGUAUGGAUAUACGACGUUUUGUUUACCCAUUCAUCAGUUGAUGAACAUUUAGGUUAUUUUCUCUUUUUGGCUACUAUGAAUAAUGCUGCUAUGAACAUACACGUACAAGUCUUUCUGUGGACACAUAUUUUCAUUUCUCUUGGAUAUACAUCUAGGAGUGGAAUUGUUGGCUCAUAUGGCAGCUCUAUCUUAACCUUUUAAGGAACUGCUAUCGUGUUUUCCAAAGAAGCUGCACCACUCUGCAUUCCCACCAGCAGUGUGAGAGGGUCCCAAUUUCUCCACACCUUCACCAACACUGUUGUCAUUUGUCUUUUCAUUACAGUCAUACUAGUGGGCAUGAAGCGGUAUCUCACUGUGAGUUUGGUUUGCAUUUCCCUGAUAGCUGAUGAUGUUGAGCAUCUUUUCAUGUGCUUAUUGGCCAUAUGUAUAUCUUCUCUGGAGAGGUGUCCAUUCAGAUCCCUUGCCCAUUUUUAACUGAGUUGUCUUAAUUAUUGAGAUAUAUUUUAGACCGAAGUUCCUUACCAGAUUUGCAAAAAAAAAUUUCCCAUGCUUUGGGUUGUCUUUUCACUGUCUUGAUGGUGUCCUUUGAAGCAUGAAGGCUUUUAGUUUUGAUGAAAUGCAAUUUAUCUAUUUUGUUGUUGUUGCCUGUGCUUUGGGGGUCCUAAGAAAACACUGCUUACUCCAAAUCAUGAAGAUACAUGCCUAUGUUUCUUUCUAAGUGUUUUACAUAGUUUUAGCUCUGAUAUUUAGGUCAUGGAACCAUUUUAAGCUAAUUUUGUAUACAGUAUGAGGUAACAAUCCAAAUUCAUUCUUCUGCAUGUAGAUAUCCAGUUGUCCCAACACUAUUUGUUGAAAAGACUAUUCUUUCCCCCCAUUAAAUUGUCUUAGCACCCUUGUCAAAAGUUAAUAGACUGUAAACGUGAGGGUUUACUUCUGGACUCUUAAUUCUAGUUCAUUGAUCCAAAUAUGUCUGUUUUUAUGCCAGUACCACGCUGUCUUGAUUAUUGUAGUUUUGUCGUAAAUUCCGAAAGCAAGAAAUGUGCAUGCUCCGACUUCAUUCUUUUUCAAGACUGUUUUGGCUAUUUUAGGUCCUCUGCAUUUCCAUAUGAAUUUUAGGAUCAACUUGUGAAUUUCUAAACAAAGGGCAGCUGGGAUUUUGAUAGGUAUUGUAUUGAAUCUGUAGACAAAUUUGGGGACUUUGGGGACUUCCCUGGUGGUGCAGUGGUAAAGAAUCUGACUUCCAAUGCAGGGGACGCAGGUUCGAUCCCUGGUUGAGGAACUAAGAUCCCACAUGCUGCAGGGCAACUAAGCCCGAGCGCCACAACUACUGAGCCCGAGUGCUCUAGAGCCCGUGCGCCACAACUAGAGAGAAGCCUGCGCACCGCAACGAAAGAUCCCACAUGCCACAACCAAGACCCAACGCAGCCAAAUAAAUAAAUAUAUUUUUUUAAAAAAUUGGGGGACUUUUGCUACAUUAACACUAUUAAGUCUUCCAGCCAUUAAUACAGAAUGUCUUUCCAUUUAUUUAUGUCUUCUUCGUUAACUUCUUUCAGUAUUUUGUAAUUUGCAGCAUAUGAGUCUUCCACUUCUUUGGUAAAAUUAUUCCUAUUUUAUUCUUUUUGAUGCUAAAUGGAAUUGGUUUCUUAAUUUCAUUUUCAGAUGGUUCAUUGCCAGAAUGUGGAUUUACAACUGACUUUUGUAUACUGAUCUUGUAUCCUACAACCGUGGUGAACUCAUACAUUGGUUCUAAUUGAUUUUUAGUGGAUUCCUUAGGAUUUGCCCUCUACAAGAUCAUGUCAUCUGCAAAUAAAGACAGUUUUACUUCUUCCUUUACAA